AUUCCUUUAAGUUUCAGUCUUGCGACCGUACUCCCCAGGCGGCAGACUUAACGGCUUCCCUGCGGCACUGGGCUGGCACAAGGCUAGCCCAUCACCGAGUCUGCAUCGUUUACAGCUGGGACUACCCGGGUAUCUAAUCCGGUUUGCUCCCCCAGCUUUCAUCCCUCACCGUCGAGCGCGUUCUGGCAAGCCGCCUUCGCCACUGGUGGUCUUCAAUGGAUCAGUGGAUUUUACCCCUACCCACUAAGUACCGCUUGCCUCUCCCGCCUCCUAGUUCUACAGUAUCCUCCGCGGCCCAUCCGUUGAGCGGCUGGAUUUAACGGAAGACUUGUAAAACCGGCUACGGAUGCUUUAGGCCCAAUAAUCGUCCCGACCACUCGGGGUGCUGGUAUUACCGCGGCGGCUGACACCAGACUUGCCCACCCCUUAU
rnacentral:rRNA from 1 species